UACGGGGGGGCAAGCGUUGUUCGGAAUUACUGGGCGUAAAGGCUCGUAGGCGGCCAACUAAGUCAGACGUGAAAUCCCUCGGCUUAACCGGGGAACUGCGUCUGAUACUGGAUGGCUUGAGUUCGGGAGAGGGAUGUGGAAUUCCAGGUGUAGCGGUGAAAUGCGCAGAUAUCAGGAAGAACACCCGUGGCGAAGGCGGCUCUCUGGGACGGUACUGACGCUGAGACGCGAAAGCGUGGGGAGCGAACAGG
rnacentral:rRNA from 1 species